UACGUAGGGUGCAAGCGUUAAUCGGAAUUAUUGGGCGUAAAGCGUGCGCAGGCGGCUUUGCAAGUCAGAUGUGAAAUCCCCGGGCUUAACCUGGGAACUGCAUUUGUGACUGCAAGGCUGGAGUGCGGCAGAGGGGGAUGGAAUUCCGCGUGUAGCAGUGAAAUGCGUAGAUAUGCGGAGGAACACCGAUGGCGAAGGCAAUCCCCUGGGCCUGCACUGACGCUCAUGCACGAAAGCGUGGGGAGCAAACAGG
rnacentral:rRNA from 1 species